rnacentral:lncRNA from 1 species
UUUGUUGUUUGGAGCUGUGACUGGAUUACAAAAGCUUAUCCACAGAUUCUGGUUUGGUUUGACUUAAGAAUCUUAGCAGGUCAUAUGCGCUCCUGAUGAACGAAAAUAGAAAGAAUGCAGAAAGGUUCCAUAGACCUGGAGAAGUAUGUAAUCAGAAUAUUUCCAAUCUGUAAAGUGGCAGUUAGAUGUAAACUAAAGCCAGAGAUAAUCCUCCACAUCUACAACAAAUGUGCCAAUUCAUGUUGCAUUAAUAAGCAGCACGACACCAGAGGUUUAGUUAUCAUAAUAUUUUAAUUUAGUUUAACUAAACAAUCCCAUUUUAGGGUUAAUUUACAGUAUUUUCCAGUCUUUAUCAGGGAGUUUGCUCCGUUGCCAUGGAGAUGCAUCUGUUUUUAUGCUUCUGGAGAAACUGUAUGGUUUCCUUCAAAAACUGUCUUCACUCCAUCCGGGGCCAACGAUGAUCUUUCAUGUAGAGCGGGUGAUUCAAUUAGGUCAUCAGAAAAAAAUAACAGGAGCAGGCGGAAGGAGAAACAGGAAGGAACCUGGAGAGCGUGUGUGUGAGGAGCAACGGCGCCCGAUGGUCAGAGACGCUGUCACACAUGAAUCAAGAUGAGGAGCCGCUUUGCGCAACAGUUACAGUUGGAUGUUGGGAAAUCUCUGCACAGGAACAUAAUCAGCAUUUCUUAAUAAUAUUCCAUGAAUAUGAGCGAUGAUGAGCUGACAAGGAUUCCCACCUGAAUAUAACGGCGCUCCUCCCUCGGGGGAGCUUCAUGGUGAGGUCACUGUUUGGCUUCCUGGCAGCAUCGCGGUUGCGUUUUCUUUUUUUAAACCCUCAUUGAACCUUAACUUUAACCAAUGUAUUAAUCCCUGCGGGGGAAAUCAGAGCUGCCAGUUUAGGCAUUUACCAAGACUAAACAGGUGGCGGCUCGCGCCCCAAGUAGAAAGAAGCCACCAUAACCUCAGGUAACCUCAGCGUUUAUGGGAAAUGUUGCCCAAUAUUCAAUCACACUUCCUACAGGAAUAAACAAAGUGCACAAGGAUGAUUUAUGUCA